rnacentral:tRNA from 1 species
GCCUGGGUGGCCCAGUGGUAGAGCAUCUGGCUUUGGUUCAGGGCCUGAUCCUGGAGACCUGGGAUCGAGUCCCACAUCGGGCU